GUCUUGGGAUUUGAAUCUCGGUAUGCGCUGCUCAGUUACUUCCAGAGCAAUCCACCAAGGAUAGUAUUUUCCUUCUACAGGUCCUAGACUCCUUCAUUCUCUUCAUCUAAAUCCACCAGUACAAAACGCCCUUGGAAAACGCUGACAGAGUCUUUUGACCCUCCGCUGCACCCGUCACUCGCGCAGCCGGCGGAAGUAGAGAGCAGUUGGCCGGAAGUGAGGCUGUGAGGCGGGUAGGCAUUGCCGGAGCUGAGACUCCAAAGUGCCAAGAACCCUGUCAAGUGGUAGUGUGGGAUAUGACCUACCUCGGCUACCAGGGAAGUCAGACAGGAGCCAAGGGGUGCCACUUGGUGUGGCCCUGAAGAAAAUUUUCCAUGGAUGACUGGAACACCCUUCUGUAUUACUCCCUGAAAUCACACUUUGGUUUCUUUCUGAUGCUUGAAACUAUUCUAUGAGCUACAAAGAUGGUAAUAAAUCUUUGCCUCCCACAGUUCAGACCAAGAAUUCACUGCAACAAGAUAUCAGCUGAUGGUUAUGAAGUAGAAAAUCUCAUCUCUGAAGACCUCACAAAGAGAAGCCAUGGUUUUAGGACAGAGUAUUUCAUUAAGCCACCAGUCCACGUGACAGUUUCCUUUCCCUUUAAUGUAUGCCAAAUCUGUAGGAUUCAUAGACCUCACAGCUUGGGGCAGCCAGAAUGUCACUGGCCUGGAGAUGUACACGUCCACCUUAUCCAGCAGAGCCUCUUGGAGUGGGCCCAAGUGCCAGGGCCUCAGCUCCACCGAGCCCUCCUGUGCCCAACAAAGAGGCGUUCACCUUGGUCGGCAAAGUCUUGCUGAAGAACCAGAGCCAAGUGGUAUUCAGCCAGGGCUUCCAAGGCCAGGCCACCUUUUAGCCCAGUGGAAGUCACACUUCCCUCCCCUGCAGUUAUGGCCCAGGAGCUCUGGAAUAAAGGGACUCUUUCCCUUUGCCAUGUGGCCCACCUCAGGAUCUGCAUCACCCACGUGACGGGCAGUGGUGUCCCUUGCAUCAAGAGGUUGGAGGCAGGGUCAGCCGGCCAAGACUUGCUCUCAGGAGGUGAUAGACAGUGUCUUGCUGGUGGCCUCAGAGAGUAUACCUCAGGACCUGGCCCUGCAGAACCGAGCCUCUGCCCAUGGAGAGUGACUGCCACCCGAAGGCCAAUCUGAGGGCCAGCAGGCCCCUUCCAGCCUCGAGGAGCUGGCUGAGGUGAUUUGGGAAGUGCCUGAGGAGUCUCCUGGAUCCCAUCACCCUGGAGAUCAUGCCCUGCCCCAUGCUGCUGCUCCUCGGGCAAGGUCAUCGAUCAGAGCACCCUAGAGAAGUGCUAACCGCAGUGAGGCCACUUGGGGCCGAGUGCCCAGUGACCCAUUCACAGGCAUUGCCUUCACCCCGCACUCCCAACCCCUGCCACACCCCACCCUGAAGGCCCGCAUAGACCACUUCCUGCUCCAGCACUCUGUCCCUAGCUGCCACCUGCUUGGGAGAGCACAGGCUGCACUCAGCAGUGACCCCUUCUUCCAUAACCCCUGCCUUCUCGGAAAAGGAAGCUGGAGCAGGGGCACCGGGCCCAGACAGUAGCCUUGGUGUGAACACUUCCUGCUUUCCUCCGGACCACAAAACUUUCUGGUCUCUUCCACUGCUUCAGAACAUUCCACCAAGAAAAUGAAGGCCACCGACGAGCCUAUCCUGAUGCACAUGGACUGCUCCACAGAAUCAGUGUCCCAUGAGCAAAAGCUGUCACAAAGCUUGAAAAUGGCCUUGAUGACCACCCUUGGCUCUAUGCCUUCCUUCACACCCCGGCUGAAUAGGGGGACAGCUCCAGCACCUGGGCACAAGAGGAAGCAGCACUUCGGGAGGCCAGGCGCCAGCUCAGGGCAGCCUGGCUGCCACCCAGGCCCCGAGUGCACCUCCUGCAAAAGAGUGUUUUCUUCCUACUUCAAAAAAGGAGCCCAUGUACCAGCUGCCCUGUGGCCACCUCCUGUGCCGCCCUUGCCUGGGUGAGAAGCAGCACUCCCUGCCCAUGACCUGCACAGCCUGCCAGCAGCCCUUCACCAGCCAGGAUGUGCUGCGGGUGCACUUCUGACUGACCAGCCUCAGCUGGAGACAGCCAUCACUGGAAGGAGCCAGUGGGGAGCAGGAUUGGGGUCACAGCACCUCUGCGGUUUGGCCAGAGACAGGCACAGAGCUGCCUGUUCUCUUUCUGGGCUUUGUCACCUCACAGUGCAGCACAGGGGUGGGGGGCAGGCUUACUUCUAUUCAGGUGGCCACAAGAUAAAGCCAUAGACUGGGUAGGGAGGGUUGGGGAGAUAUCCCUGCUCUCCUGUACCUCCCUGCCAUGCCCCUGCCAACACCUGCCCAGGGUGGGCACCCCUCCUGAAGGCAUCCCACAUUGUCUGCACACCCCCUCCCAGCAAAGCCUGCAGAGUGGGGCACAGUGAACUGCUCAGGGUCACCCAGAAGUAAACCACACGGGGCUUGGGGUGCAUGACUCAGCCCCUGCCCCCAGCUGGCAACACCUGUGGCCUUAAUAAAGUGAUGGUUGACGUCCUCCUUGGGGAGCACCUGUGUCAUCAUACUCCUGUCCCCAUUUGUCCAUUAAGUGACUGUCACGGGGCACCCAUGAAAGGACAAAAGCUAGAUGGCGUGUUCAGUCUGCCCUGUGUUGGAGGGCCCCAGGUCAGGGUUUGCAGUAGGCAUCACCGUGGGGGCUGUGUAGCCUCCAUCUGCAAGGUACCUGUUGCAGCUGUCAUGGAGAAAACACCUGUGCAGCAUGUGGCCCAUUUCAGGAAAAAAUUUGUGUUUAUAGGCUGUCUUUGUUUUUUUUUCUAUUCACAAUCUAGCUUUAUGGAGUCCCAAAGGAUAUGUAUUCCUACAGCUUUGCUUACCAUAUCAAAUAGAUUCUAGUCACCUGAAGAUUCAGUGAGGAAAUACACCACGCUAUUCUGUGCACUUCCGGAGCACACUGGGGAGACUCAGCCUGACGUGCUCCUGCUUAACCCCUGAGGUUAAUGGCAAGCCUUGUGGGCAGCCCAUUUCUUGUCCC
ensembl:lncRNA